CCAACGGAGAGUUUGAUCCUGGCUCAGGACGAACGCUGGCGGCGUGCUUAACACAUGCAAGUCGAGCGGAAAGGCCCUUCGGGGUACUCGAGCGGCGAACGGGUGAGUAACACGUGAGCAACCUGCCCCUAGCUCUGGGAUAGGCCCGGGAAACUGGGAUUAAUACCGGAUACGACCACUUUAGACAUCUGCUGUGGUGGAAAGAAUUUCGGCUAGGGAUGAGCUCGCGGCCUAUCAGCUUGUUGGUGGGGUAACGGCCUACCAAGGCGACGACGGGUAGCCGGCCUGAGAGGGCGACCGGC
rnacentral:rRNA from 1 species